rnacentral:rRNA from 1 species
UACGGAGGGGGCUAGCGUUGUUCGGAAUUACUGGGCGUAAAGCGCACGUAGGCGGCUUUGUAAGUUAGAGGUGAAAGCCCAGGGCUUAACCCUGGAAUUGCCUUUAAGACUGCAUCGCUAGAAUUGUGGAGAGGUAAGUGGAAUUCCGAGUGUAGAGGUGAAAUUCGUAGAUAUUCGGAAGAACACCAGUGGCGAAGGCGACUUACUGGACACAUAUUGACGCUGAUGAGCGAAAGCUAGGGGAGCAAACGGG